UACAGGUAUACCAGAGCAACUACAUUCACCUUUGAAGGAUGUAACAAAAGAACAAAAAAGGCAGGGCAGAGCGGAAAGGAGCAAGGGAAACAGGUUCAAAAUAUGCCACAGAAGAGACAGAGAUCAAAAAGAUGCUCUUCCCUGUGAAAUGACUAUAUAGUUCAUUAAGAAACUGCAAUUCCAGAGAAGACCAAGAACUCACAUCCCUGAGCAUGUGGGCGAUUGUUCUCUUUCCCUCAAGGGUCCAGAAUAAGGAUGAAGGAGACAAAGCCAUACUGUGUCUCUGAGCACUUUGCUUCAACUGAGGACGGGAAAUGGGAUGACAAUAUUAUAACUGCUUGUUCAGAGCAGAAGUACUGAGAGACCCUGAAGUUUGAGGAGAUCGGAACCCCAAGGAAAUAAUUUGCUUUCCAAUUGCAGCAGGAAAUGCAGACAACCUCCACAGAAUCUUAGGGCUGGAAUCUUGAUUAAUAAACUCUGUGAUUCAAGUUAAGAACAACUUGCAUUUGUGUAGCAUUGUGUUUUAACGUGUUAAAAUAGCCCAAAAUAUUUCAAAAUUAAAUGAUUAUUUGAGAAUGCCUGCUCAGUCAGCUGUUGAAUUACAUUGGUUAGACAUCUGGACUCUCCUUUUAAUUCUUUGCA